UAAUGAUUUUUUGAGCUUUUUGGAGUCAUUGCUAAGACUUGACUCAGUUGACUGUGACCCUGCUUGGCUACUCAAUUUUUUGGUAUCAAAUGCAUGUUAAAUCUUUUGAAUAUGAAUAUGCAAACAAGCUUAAUCUGGAACAGAAUUCACUAUAUCUACAAUUGUUUUGAUGCGGUUCUUUAGUACGUUUGAUUGCUACUAUUACUGCCAAUGUUGUAUGGUUUUCAAGGAUCUUUGUUUUGAAAUUAUGGUUGAAUAUACAUUUGGUUGUAGGAUGGUUGGAAACAAGGAAUUAAUUGUUGAAGAUACAUUUGUUGCUGAAGCUUAUACCUUCUGGCCUGCUGCUGUAGCCUUCAUGUAUUUGUAUCUUUUCCUUCUCCCUUGGUAUGUCUUAUACCAUGGUUUGAGUGUUGUCAAUAAAUU